AGAGUUUGAUCCUGGCUCAGGAUGAACGCUAGCGACAGGCUUAACACAUGCAAGUCGAGGGGCAGCACGGGUAGCAAUACCCGCCGGCGACCGGCGCACGGGUGAGUAACGCGUAUGCAACUUACCUAUCAGAGGGGGAUAACCCGGCGAAAGUCGGACUAAUACCGCAUGAAGCAGGGGCCCCGCAUGGGGAUAUUUGCUAAAGAUUCAUCGCUGAUAGAUAGGCAUGCGUUCCAUUAGGCAGUUGGCGGGGUAACGGCCCACCAAACCGACGAUGGAUAGGGGUUCUGAGAGGAAGGUCCCCCACAUUGGUACUGAGACACGGACCAAACUCCUACGGGAGGCAGCAGUGAGGAAUAUUGGUCAAUGGGCGUAAGCCUGAACCAGCCAAGUCGCGUGAGGGAUGAAGGUUCUAUGGAUCGUAAACCUCUUUUAUAAGGGAAUAAAGUGCGGGACGUGUCCCGUUUUGUAUGUACCUUAUGAAUAAGGAUCGGCUAACUCCGUGCCAGCAGCCGCGGUAAUACGGAGGAUCCGAGCGUUAUCCGGAUUUAUUGGGUUUAAAGGGUGCGUAGGCGGCCUUUUAAGUCAGCGGUGAAAGUCUGUGGCUCAACCAUAGAAUUGCCGUUGAAACUGGGAGGCUUGAGUAUGUUUGAGGCAGGCGGAAUGCGUGGUGUAGCGGUGAAAUGCUUAGAUAUCACGCAGAACCCCGAUGGCGAGGGCACCCUGCAAAGCCAUGACUGACGCUGAUGCACGAAAGCGUGGGGAUCAAACAGGAUUAGAUACCCUGGUAGUCCACGCAGUAAACGAUGAUCACUAGCUGUUUGCGAUACACUGUAAGCGGCACAGCGAAAGCGUUAAGUGAUCCACCUGGGGAGUACGCCGGCAACGGUGAAACUCAAAGGAAUUGACGGGGGCCCGCACAAGCGGAGGAACAUGUGGUUUAAUUCGAUGAUACGCGAGGAACCUUACCCGGGUUUGAACGCAUUUCGACCGCUCUGGAAACAGAGCCUCUAGCAAUAGCGAUUUGCGAGGUGCUGCAUGGUUGUCGUCAGCUCGUGCCGUGAGGUGUCGGCUUAAGUGCCAUAACGAGCGCAACCCUUGCCACUAGUUACUAACAGGUAAAGCUGAGGACUCUGGUGGGACUGCCAGCGUAAGCUGCGAGGAAGGCGGGGAUGACGUCAAAUCAGCACGGCCCUUACAUCCGGGGCGACACACGUGUUACAAUGGCGUGGACAAAGGGAAGCCACCUGGCGACAGGGAGCGAAUCCCCAAACCACGUCUCAGUUCGGAUCGGAGUCUGCAACCCGACUCCGUGAAGCUGGAUUCGCUAGUAAUCGCGCAUCAGCCAUGGCGCGGUGAAUACGUUCCCGGGCCUUGUACACACCGCCCGUCAAGCCAUGGGAGCCGGGGGUACCUGAAGUCCGUAACCGCGAGGAUCGGCCUAGGGUAAAACUGGUGACUGGGGCUAAGUCGUAACAAGGUAGCCGUACCGGAAGGUGCGGCUGGAACACCU
rnacentral:rRNA from 1 species